UACGUAGGGUGCAAGCGUUAAUCGGAAUUACUGGGCGUAAAGCGUGCGCAGGCGGUUCUUUAAGUCUGUCGUGAAAGCCCCGGGCUCAACCUGGGAAUUGCGAUGGAGACUGCAAGGCUUGAAUCUGGCAGAGGGGGGUAGAAUUCCACGUGUAGCAGUGAAAUGCGUAGAGAUGUGGAGGAACACCGAUGGCGAAGGCAGCCCCCUGGGUCAAGAUUGACGCUCAUGCACGAAAGCGUGGGGAGCAAACAGG
rnacentral:rRNA from 1 species